UACGGAAGGUCCGGGCGUUAUCCGGAUUUAUUGGGUUUAAAGGGAGCGUUGGCCGGAGAUUAAGCGUGUUGUGAAAUGUAGAUGCUCAACAUCUGCACUGCAGCGCGAACUGGUUUCCUUGAGUACGCACAAAGUGGGCGGAAUUCGUGGUGUAGCGGUGAAAUGCUUAGAUAUCACGAAGAACUCCGAUUGCGAAGGCAGCUCACUGGAGCGCAACUGACGCUGAAGCUCGAAAGUGCGGGUAUCGAACAGG
rnacentral:rRNA from 1 species